rnacentral:rRNA from 1 species
CCUGGCUCAGAUUGAACGCUGGCGGCAUGCCUUACACAUGCAAGUCGAACGGCAGCGCGGGGCAACCUGGCGGCGAGUGGCGGACGGGUGAGUAAUAUAUCGGAACGUACCCUGGAGUGGGGGAUAACGUAGCGAAAGUUACGCUAAUACCGCAUACGAUCUAAGGAUGAAAGUGGGGGAUUCGCAAGAACCUCAUGCUCCUGGAGCGGCCGAUAUCUGAUUAGCUAGUUGGUGGGGUAAAGGCCUACCAAGGCAUCGAUCAGUAGCUGGUCUGAGAGGACGACCAGCCACACUGGAACUGAGACACGGUCCAGACUCCUACGGGAGGCAGCAGUGGGGAAUUUUGGACAAUGGGCGCAAGCCUGAUCCAGCAAUGCCGCGUGAGUGAAGAAGGCCUUCGGGUUGUAAAGCUCUUUUGUCAGGGAAGAAACGGUGAAGGCUAAUAUCCUUUGCUAAUGACGGUACCUGAAGAAUAAGCACCGGCUAACUACGUGCCAGCAGCCGCGGUAAUACGUAGGGUGCAAGCGUUAAUCGGAAUUACUGGGCGUAAAGCGUGCGCAGGCGGUUUUGUAAGUCUGUCGUGAAAUCUCCCGGGCUCA